AGCGAAUGCUGGCGGCAGGCCUAACACAUGCAAGUCGAACGAACCUUUCGGGGUUAGUGGCGGACGGGUGAGUAACACGUGGGAACGUGCCUUUAGGUUCGGAAUAACUCAGGGAAACUUGUGCUAAUACCGAAUGUGCCCUUCGGGGGAAAGAUUUAUCGCCUUUAGAGCGGCCCGCGUCUGAUUAGCUAGUUGGUUGAGGUAAUGGCUCACCAAGGCGACGAUCAGUAGCUGGUCUGAGAGGAUGAUCAGCCACAUUGGGACUGAGACACGGCCCAAACUCCUACGGGAGGCAGCAGUGGGGAAUCUUGCGCAAUGGGCGAAAGCCUGACGCAGCCAUGCCGCGUGAAUGAUGAAGGUCUUAGGAUUGUAAAAUUCUUUCACCGGGGACGAUAAUGACGGUACCCGGAGAAGAAGCCCCGGCUAACUUCGUG
rnacentral:rRNA from 1 species